rnacentral:pre_miRNA from 1 species
AAAGUACUCCCUCCGUCCCAAAAUUCUUGUCUUAGAUUUGUCUAGAUACGGAUGUAUCAAGUCACAUUUUAGUAUUAGAUACAUCCAUACCUAGACAAAUCUAAGACAAGAAAUUUGGGACAGAGGGAGUACUUG